UCCUGCCUUUCACCUCCUUCUGACUCAUCUCUGAAUUGUUUCUUGUGAUUGUGUCAAGAAUCUGGAAACUAGCUGGGCUGGGGUCUCACUGGCAUGCAGAGACUCUCCUGGGAUCACACUGGCAUCCACAGAGCCUCUUGAGCCCUCCAGCAACAAGUUGAUCUGGUAAUAGCUUUGGAACUUUGAGGGGAAGUUGGAGACUUGGCAUGAGGGAUAAAUGCAGUGGACUGAGACUUUAGACAAGUGGGGAUGGGGUCUUUGACCAGGCGCCAGUGGUAGCUCUCCACGCAAGCUGCUCGUUUCCUAUGGAUCCCCCUAGCUGUGGUGGGCAUUGCAGUUGCCCUUGGGUAUUUCGAGUGGCAGGGUCUGCUCACCCUGGAUAGACCAUCACUAUCCAGCUGUGCCACUUUGCAUGCUCCAUCCUUCCUCUGCUCCUUCUCGGCUGCUGAUUUUAGAAACAAGGUAGACCAGACUCAUUUCAGUGGCAAUGUAAAUUUGGGAGAACGAAAUUAUCAUCUCACAUCUGCCACCAACUGCUGUUAGCUGUAGAAUGUCAUACGCGUCCAUGUGAAGAGACCACCAAACAGGAUUUGUAUGGAGUGCAGAUAUUUUCAUCCAGAAGUUCUUAGAUGAUGUGUUCCAAUCACUUUAUAGAGUGGCUUCUUCUUCA
rnacentral:lncRNA from 1 species